GAAUUUUGCGCAAUGGGGGAAACCCUGACGCAGCAACGCCGGGUGAGUGAUGAAGGCUUUCGGGUCGUAAAGCUCUGUCAGAGGGGAAGAAAUGGAAACGGUUAAUACCCGUUUUCCUUGACGGUACCCUCAAAGGAACCACCGGCUAACCCCGUGCCCGCCGCCGCGGUAAUACGGAGGGUGCAAGCGUUGUUCGGAUUUAUUGGGCGUAAAGCGCGUGUAGGCGGUUUCUUAAGUCUGAUGUGAAAGCCCUGGGCUCAACCCAGGAAGUGCAUUGGAUACUGGGAAACUUGAAUACGGGAGAGGGUAGUGGAAUUCCUAGUGUAGGAGUGAAAUCCGUAGAUAUUAGGAGGAACACCGGUGGCGAAGGCGGCUACCUGGACCGAUAUUGACGCUGAGACGCGAAAGCGUGGGGAGCAAACAGG
rnacentral:rRNA from 1 species